AUGGAGAAUGAUGCAUACUUCUAUUUGCUAGCUCUUCUUCCUCUUCUGUACCUGAUUCGACUCUACAGAGCUUCCUUUGGCCCUCACAACCAUGGUCUGCGGCUCCCUCCAGGCCCAUGGCAGCUUCCCGUUAUCGGCAGCCUCCACCAUCUUUUUGGUGCCCUCCCUCACCGCGCCUUACGAGACCUAUCUCAGCGCCAUGGCCCUCUGAUGCUACUCAAGUUCGGCGAGAAUCCGGUGAUCAUCGCCUCCUCCGCGGAGGCUGCCAAGGAGAUCAUGAAGGUGCAUGACAGCAUCUUCUGCACAAGGCCACUGAGCUCAUCUGUCAAGGUCAUGAACGAGCUUGGCCGGGGGAUCGCGUUUGCCCCCUACGGCGACCACUGGCGGCAGAUGCGCAAGAUUUGCUUCCUCGAACUGCUGAGCACCAAGCGCAUCAGUUCGUUCCAGGCCAUCCGCGAGGAGGAGGCUACCCGAUUGAUCAGGUCCGUCUCAUCUGCAUCCCAGUUAGAGGUGGUUGUGAAUCUGGGCAAGAUGCUGGCGAUGUACGUGACGGACACGACGGUGCACGCCAUCAUGGGCGGCCGGUUCAAGGAGCAGGACACCUUGCUCCACUACGUCGACGAGGCGGUGCGGUUGGUAGGCGGCUUCAGCUUGCCUGAUUUGUUCCCAUCUUCGAGGCUGGCACUCGCUCUGAGCAGCACGCUGCGCAAGUCCAGGGUGUUUCGGGACUCUUUGAUGGCGUUCAUGGACCGCGUCAUAGGAGAGCAUCUGGAGAGGACGUCCUCUGAUGAACAACACCAGGAAGAUUUGAUCGAUGUGCUCUUGAGGAUUCAAAGAGAAGGCAACCUUCAGUCUCCCCUCACCAUGGACAGCAUCAAAGCAGUGAUUUUUGAUCUCUUUGCAGGUGGGAGCGAGACAGCAACAACGACGCUGCAGUGGGCAAUGGCCGAGCUGAUGCGAAACCCGAGCGUGAUGUCCAGGGCGCAAGCUGAGGUCAGGGCAGCCUUCAUGGGACAAAUGAAGGUAUCUGAGGAAGGUCUAGGUGAGCUGAGUUACUUGCAGUGUAUCAUCAAGGAGACAUUACGUUUGCACACUCCUGGGCCGUUACUAAUGCCAAGGGAGUGCCAAGAACAUUGCAAAAUACUCGGCUAUGACGUGCCCAAGGGGACUACCGUGCUCGUGAAUGCUUGGGCUAUCUCCAGGGACCCAGAAUGCUGGGACGAACCGGAAGCGUUCAUGCCAGAGAGAUUUAUGAGUAGUGUGAGAGAUUACAAAGGCAACAACUUCGAGUUCAUCCCGUUCGGCGCCGGUCGACGAAUCUGCCCCGGGAUGCUGUUUGGGAUUGCGAAUAUCGAGCUAGCUCUUGCGAGCCUUCUGUUUUAUUUCGACUGGAGUCUUCCCGAUGGCAUUCUUCCAAGCGAACUGGACAUGACAGAAGCCUUCGGAGUAACAGCGCGAAAGAAGGUGGAUCUGCUGUUGCGUCCAACUGCCCAUGUACAGCUGCCCCGCUGA
rnacentral:rRNA from 1 species